UGGGGUGUGGCUCAGUAGUAGAGUGCUUGCCUAGCACAUGUGAGGCCCUGGGUUUGAUCCUCAGCACCACAU
rnacentral:tRNA from 1 species